rnacentral:lncRNA from 1 species
CGGCACGGCUGGAGGCAGUGGCUCACCUGCUGCUCUUUGUGUUCUCUCCCUCUCUCUCUCUCUCUCUCUUCCUUUCUCUCUCAGUGGCAAGAUACACACCAGCAGCUCUAGCUUUCCUCUUGACCUACCAGGAACACCAGCGGACAGGACUAGACAGCCUCUCUUCACAAGAGUUCACAGCUGUCCUAGAAGUGAGUCUCUGGCUCACGGGGCCACAUGCUCACCCUGGAUGCCAUCUCUGUGGCCAGAGGGAUGGAAGAAGCCGAUUGCUCAGGCCUCAGUCACAUGCCGUCUCCUGGAGCCGGGAAUAAGGCCAUCCCCACAUGGACCGCACUGUAAGGGAGGAGGGGCUGCCUGGUGCUCGUGCCAAAAGAAAGUCUUUUCUCUCUCAGUCGCGGCUCUGUCUCCCUCGCGGAUGUUGUGAUGUGAAGGGUUCAGCGGCCUCAGCACCAGAUGGAGGCCCCACUUGUCGUUUGGAAAACCCUCUAGGCAGUGCCCUGGCCGCACACGUCUCCGGGUGCACAGCCGUCC